rnacentral:tRNA from 1 species
GCAUUAGUAGCUCAGAUUCAGAGCGUCGGUCUUGUAAGCCGAAUGCCGGGGGUUAAAAUCCCCCCUCAUGCU